rnacentral:misc_RNA from 1 species
GUAGGUGAACCUGCGGAAGGAUCAUUAAUACGUUUUUUAUCUGUGCACGUAAAACCUGCGCGAUAAAAAUGUUUAAACCCCUGAACAAAUCGUGACAAGUUAGAUGAUGGGUUUGCAUUUGUGAAUCUUGUGCGUUUGUACGAGAUUUGAAAAGGAACUGUCGGCUGCGGAAUUUCUGCAGCUCCAUCUCAGCGUAGAGCAGUGAGAUGACUUCUUCAAUGAGGUGGUUCUGAAAUACGCAUGCCUACUC